UGCUUCCUUCUAAUGCCUUGCAUAAUAACCUUAGUGCUGAUGAUCCCUCAAAGUUGCUGAAUUUUCAAGCCCCUGGCCUGUCCAUGCCAGGUCUCCAUUUUAACAAAGCAAAUCCACAAAACCAAGUCAGCCAGCUGCCACAGUCAUCAGCAUGGACUCAGCAGCAACAGCUGCAGCAAUUAUUGCAGACCAAUAUCAACCAACAGCAGUCAUCUCAUCCUCAACAGCAACAGCAGCAGCCUCAUCCCCAACAGCAACAGCAGAGGCAGCAACCACAACCACCNACAGCAACAACAAUUGAACCAACAGCAGCAGCCACAAUCACAGCCACAGCCGCAGCCACAAUCACAGCCACAGCCUCCACAGUUACAACUGCAGCAGCAGCAGCAAAUAUUCCAGCCUCCUGUAAAUAAUGGUGUUGUUACCCCUAACCAAAUUUCAAAUCAAACUUUGCAGCAACCACUUGUUUACUCUCAGCUUCAGCAGCAACAGCAGCUACUGGCAAGCAAUACCCAAUCCCAAAAUAUCUCCUCUGCUAAUAAAAGUUCAUAUCAGCUGACAUCUUUGCCACAAGAUACUCCAUUCCAGCAACAAAUGGAGCAGCAGUCUAGCCUCUUACAGAGACACCAGCAGCAGACACAAUUGCAACAGUCCCCACUGCAAUUAUUGGAACAAAAUGUGGCAACACAGCAACAACCACAUCCACAGCCACAACAACUAUCACAGCCUGGUCUCUCUGAGCAACAGCUUCACUUGCAGUUGCUGCAGAAAUUGCAGCAGCAGCAGCAGCAGCAGUUGCUUUCCCCUACGAGCUCACCUUUGCAGUCUCAGCUGCUACAGCAACAGCAGACCCAUCAACAAAACCAGCAGUUCCAGCAGUUGCCUCUUUCACAGAGUCAGCAGCAGCCACUCGGUAGCAAUAGCUUCUCAACAGCAGCACUCAUGCAAUCACAAUCUUUCCCUGCGAGCCAGUCCCAUGGCCUGCAGAAGUCACCGACAACAAUUAGACCUCAUUCUACUCUCACAGAUGCAGAUGCUCCAUCUUGUUCAACCUCACCUUCUACUAAUAACUGCCAAAUUUCUCCAUCAAAUUUCCUGAAUAGAAACCAACAAACACCGGCAAUAUUGAUGGGAGACCCAGUGAUUGAGCCUGCAAAUAAUCUGGUUCAGGAGCUCAAUAGCAAGUCUGAUACUCGAGUUAAACACGAGUUUCCUAGUUCAAAAGGAUCAGACCAACUAAAAUACAAAAGUACAAUUACUGAUCAAUUGGAAGCCUCCUCUUCUGGAACGUCAUAUUGCCUGGAUGCUGGCAACAUCCAGCCAAAUUUCUCACUCCCCACCUUUGGUUUGGAUGGUGAUGUGCAAUCACAUCCUCGGAACAGUCUGCCUUUUGCAACAAAUAUUGAUAACUUGGCACCAGACACUUUGUUGUCAAGGGGAUAUGACUCUCAGAAAGAUCUUCAAAACUUGCUAACUAAUUA
rnacentral:misc_RNA from 1 species